rnacentral:lncRNA from 1 species
UGUAUUUUCUUUUUUUUAGUAGAGAAGGGGUUUCACCAAGUAGGCUAGGCUAAUUUCAAACUCCUGACCUCAGGUAAUCCACCCGCCUUGGCCUCCCAAAGUGCUGGGAUUACAGGCAUGAGCCACCGCACCUGGCCAAGGAAGACACUUUAGAUGGUGCCAGAGUUGAGGAUUUGGCCUGCGACUUAUUGCAGUUGCCGCACUGCAGUUUCCACACUGUGGCCUUAGAAGAGUCUUAUCCAGACCUGAAAUCCCAGUGCCUUGGAAACAUCAGGACUGGUCAGAAGGACAGUAAGUCCUCAAGGCACCAGCCCCUACUUCUCCACACAGAUUGAGAGGAAGAACCGGAACUAUGAUUUGUGCCUUCCUUAUUGCCUCCGAAAUAUUUUUAACUGCAGAGGAAAGCCUGUAUUAUUUUGGAGAAAGGCGAACAGAUAAAACGCACAGCAGUAAAUUUCAGGGACUAGAAACUCCUUCUCAGUAGAGACAAGGUUUCACCCUGUUGGCGAGGCUGGUCUCAAACUCCUGACGCCCAGUGAUCUGCCCACCUCGGCCUCCCAAAGUGCUGGGAUUACAGGCGGGAGCCACCAUGAUGGCCAACUUUUGAAUUCUGAACCAGUUGAUUGAGUACCAGAGCUCUUCAAUACCUUGAAGAAAGAUUCAGGGGAGAGCCGUUGUGAACAGCUUGCCCCAGGGAAAGGACAAGGCUGAGAGAAUUCCAGGGCUUCCUUGAGAAAACAGAAUUGAGGAAAUGCAAAGUGAAGAAUUCUAGCAUCAGGAACAAGAGAAGAAUGAUGGAAAACCUGCUACUGAGAUAUGUUGGAUAUUUUGCACAAGUGAAACAUCUCUACAACUGGAAUCUCCCUCCAAGACGGAUACUCUUUAUAAUAAGAUUCAUUAUUUAUUCGAUUCGUGAUACUGCAUGACAUUGAAACAGCUGGUGUAUUAACUAAUGUAUAUGACAGUCCAUCUCUGUACGAUGAUGUGAAAGUGCAGUUUUUCUCUUCGAAUCUUCCUAAAUACUAUGACAAUUGUUCAUUUUUCUUCUGGUUCAACACAUCUUUUAUUCAAAAUAACAGGCUUUAUCUACCAAGAAAUGAAUUGGAUAAUCCACAUCAACAAAAAGCAUGGAAAAUUUAUCCACCAGAAUUUGCCGUGGAGAUACUUUUUGGCGAGAAAUGACUUCCAAUGACGUAGCUGGAUCCGAUUAAGUAUAGUUUCCCCUUCCCCUUCUGGGAAAGAAUUAAUGUUCUUUCCAACCCCUGCCAUGUGCAUGUUCAUAUGUCCUAAGUCUUCCUUGAUGAUGUAUCUAUAUUUAUAUAUGUUUAUAUAUGUUCUUCAUAAAUCUAUUAAAUAUAUAUAGAUAAAA